GUGCGGAAAGCACAUUUACAGUACAUAUGGUGCUACUUUACCGCACUAGUGCGAUAAUUAGCACAUUACGAAACUAUGUCGAAAUUUUAAAGGGCCAUAUGUACUGUAGAACGUUGUACGAUACUCGUGCGAAUAGGUAAUUCGCAACUCGUGUCGAUUU